rfam:Nicotiana attenuata strain TT chromosome 7, whole genome shotgun sequence.
UAAACAGAUUAUUGUAUUCGACUGUAUUCAUGGCGUGAAACAGGAGAUUACAACUGUUUUUAACCGGAAAGUGAAUCAACUAAUAUAAUAGACUCCU